rnacentral:rRNA from 1 species
AUUGAACGCUGGCGGCAGGCCUAACACAUGCAAGUCGAACGAGUGGCGGACGGGUGAGUAAUGCUUGGGAAUCUGGCUUAUGGAGGGGGAUAACGACGGGAAACUGUCGCUAAUACCGCGUACCAUCGGAUGUGCCCAAGUGGGAUUAGGUAGUGGGUGGGGUAAUGGCCUACCAAGGCGACGAUCCCUAGCUGGUCUGAGAGGAUGACCAGCCACACGGGGACGGAGACACGGCCCAGACUCCUACGGGAGGCAGCAGUGGGGAAUAUUGCGCAAUGGGGGCAACCUGACGCAGCCAUGCCGCGUGAAUGAAGAAGGCUUUCGGGUUGUAAAGUACUUUCGGUGGCGAGGCGUUACCCACAGAAGAAGCACCGGCUAACUCCGUGCCAGCAGCCGCGGUAAUUC